rnacentral:rRNA from 1 species
GACGAACGCUGGCGGCGUGCUUAACACAUGCAAGUCGAACGAUGAAGAAGAGCUUGCUCUUCGGAUUAGUGGCGAACGGGUGAGUAACACGUGACUAACCUGCCCCUUUCUCUGGGAUAACGCUCCGAAAGGAGUGCUAAUACCGGAUACUCACAUCGAGGCACAUGCCUUGAUGUGGAAAGUUUUUCGGAAAGGGAUGGAGUCGCGGCCUAUCAGCUUGUUGGUGAGGUAACGGCUCACCAAGGCGACGACGGGUAGCCGGCCUGAGAGGGCGCCCGGCCACACUGGGACUGAGACACGGCCCAGACUCCUACGGGAGGCAGCAGUGGGGAAUAUUGCACAAUGGGCGAAGGCCUGAUGCAGCGACGCCGCGUGAGGGAUGAAGGUCUUCGGAUUGUAAACCUCUUUCAGUAGGGACGAAGCGAAAGUGACGGUACCUAAAGAAGAAGCACCGGCUAACUACGUGCCAGCAGCCGCCGUAA